rnacentral:lncRNA from 1 species
AUAAUGUCUAGAUGCUUUUAACAGUGGAGAUCAAGUUUAUAAAUUGCCUGGCUGGGCUGAUGAGACAGUGGAUGGCACAGACAGAUGGAAUAAUGAAUAGGCAUUUCAGUGUCAUAGUUUUAGCUGUUGGUAAUUUGUGGAAUAGACACUGGCUGGAACUUGGUUUUAACCAAUCAGCAUCUAGAAUUAGACCCACCCGUUGUAUAAUGUGUAUUAUGCACUCGGCCAAUUUCUGAGUUUAGCCUUGAAAUCUGGCAUUACACACACCCCCUAGCAACAUUGUCUCACUUUAUGUUUUGUUUCUGCAAAUGAAUGUUUUGUCCUAUUGUCAAUAGAUUGCAUGUUUGCUAGACAAAUGAAAGUGUGUCUUUAGUGAUGUUUUGGGCAGGAAAGAAUGCCUUUCAAAAGGGAUUGUGGUUACCAGGCAACAAGGACAAAAAACAAUCCGAGGCUGAAGGAACAAACCAAGGUUUUUUUUUCUUAUUCUUUGCUUUUCUGUGUUGCUCUCUCUCACUCUAUCACACUCCCUCUGCCUCACUUUCUCUCUCUUACACGCAUUGCUAUGCCUGGAACCAAAAUCCUCUCCCAAUCGGAUUUGACCAUGGAGAAGAGUCUUAGCCCAGUUCUUAUGCUCACGUGUGGGAUUUAUGUCCAACUGAAAUAGAAAAGAGCGCUUACGUACACUGGACAAGGUAUUGGGCUGCUACCAAAAUCUCAAAAGGUUUGCAUUGUGGGAUUGGAAGCCCAACUGGAUGCUGUGUUGACCUAAUUCAGGAGAUAAGAAGGGUUCAAACACAGUGGGCCUACUGACUGGGUGAGGUGAAGGUUUCAAACACAGUGGGCCUACUGACUGGGUGAGGUGAAGGGUUCAAACACAGUGGGCCUACUGACUGGGUGAGGUGAAGGGUUCAAACACAGUGGGCCUACUGACCGGGUGCUGCGCAACAUACACAAACAACAGAAAUCUCCUUUGAUGAGGAAUUUACAAAGUGCCUUUGGGGCUUUCACAACUCGUGGCGAAGCACCAACAUGUAAACACCUCCAUCAGUCUGAACAGUUCAUUACAC